rnacentral:rRNA from 1 species
CAAUGGGCGAAAGCCUGAUGCAGCGACGCCGCGUGAGGGAUGACGGCCUUCGGGUUGUAAACCUCUUUCAGCAGGGAAGAAGCGAAAGUGACGGUACCUGCAGAAGAAGCGCCGGCUAACUACGUGCCAGCAGCCGCGGUAAUACGUAGGGCGCGAGCGUUGUCCGGAAUUAUUGGGCGUAAAGAGCUCGUAGGCGGCUUGUCGCGUCGGUUGUGAAAGCCCGGGGCUUAACCCCGGGUCUGCAGUCGAUACGGGCAGGCUAGAGUGUGGUAGGGGAGAUCGGAAUUCCUGGUGUAGCGGUGAAAUGCGCAGAUAUCAGGAGGAACACCGGUGGCGAAGGCGGAUCUCUGGGCCAUUACUGACGCUGAGGAGCGAAAGCGUGGGGAGCGAACAGGAUUAGAUACCCUGGUAGUCCACGCCGUAAACGGUGGGCACUAGGUGUGGGCGACAUUCCACGUCGUCGGUGCCGCAGCUAACGCAUUAAGUUCCCCGCCUGGGGAGUACGGCCGCAAGGCUAAAACUCAAAGGAAUUGACGGGGGCCCGCACAAGCGGCGGAGCAUGUGGCUUAAUUCGACGCAACGCGAAGAACCUUACCAAGGCUUGACAUACACCGG